UACGUAGGGUGCGAGCGUUAAUCGGAAUUACUGGGCGUAAAGCGUGCGCAGGCGGUUCGUUGUGUCGGUGGUGAAAGCCCCGGGCUUAACCUGGGAAUGGCCAUGGAAACUGGCGAACUGGAGUGUGGCAGAGGGGGGUGGAAUUCCACGUGUAGCAGUGAAAUGCGUAGAGAUGCGGAGGAACACCGAUGGCGAAGGCAGCCCCCUGGGCUAGCACUGACGCUCAGGCACGAAAGCGUGGGGAGCGAACAGG
rnacentral:rRNA from 1 species